AAAUGUCUCUUUAGCCUUUCAAGUGAACGAUUAAAAAUAAAAGUAGAGAUUAGCAUGGCCCCUGCGCAAGGAUGACACGCAAAUUCGUGAAGCGUUCCAUAUUUUU